rnacentral:rRNA from 1 species
AUUGAACGCUGGCGGAAUGCUUUACACAUGCAAGUCGAACGGCAGCACGGACUUCGGUCUGGUGGCGAGUGGCGAACGGGUGAGUAAUGUAUCGGAACGUGCCCAGUCGUGGGGGAUAACGUAGUGAAAAUUACGCUAAUACCGCAUACGAUCUAUGGAUGAAAGCGGGGGAUCGCAAGACCUCGCGCGAUUGGAGCGGCCGAUAUCAGAUUAGGUAGUUGGUGGGGUAAAGGCCCACCAAGCCAACGAUCUGUAGCUGGUCUGAGAGGACGGCCGGCCACGCUGAAACUGAGACACUGGCCAGACUCCUACGGGAGGCAGCAGUGGGGAAUUUUGGACAAUGGGCGAAAGCCUGAUCCAGCGAUUCCGCGUGCAGGAUGAAGGCCCUCGGGUUGUAAACUGCUUUUGUACAGAACGAAAAGGUUUCUACUAAUACUAGGAGCUCAUGACGGUACUGUAAGAAUAAGCACCGGCUAACUACGUGCCAGACGCCGCCGUAA